AUAUUGGUGGUUCGAUGGCAGUACUCUCACCUUCCAUGUGAGAAACUUGGGUUCAAUUCCUGGCCAAUGUG
rnacentral:tRNA from 1 species